rnacentral:rRNA from 1 species
UAAGGAAUAUUGGUCAAUGCCCGGAAGGGUGAACCAGCCAUCCCGCGUGAAGGAUGAAGGGGCUCUGCCUUGUAAACUUCUUUUGAAUGGGACGAAAAAGCCUCACUUGUGAGGAACUGACGGUACCAUUAGAAUAAGCACCGGCUAACUCCGUGCCAGCAGCCGCGGUAAUACGGAGGGUGCGAGCGUUAUCCGGAAUCACUGGGUUUAAAGGGUGCGUAGGCGGCUGUAUAAGUCAGUGGUGAAAGGCUGUGGCUUAACCAUGGGAUCGCCAUUGAUACUGUACGGCUUGAAUUAGGAUGAGGUUGGCGGAAUGUGACAUGUAGCGGUGAAAUGCUUAGAUAUGUCAUGGAACAUCGAUUGCGAAGGCAGCUGACUGGACCUUAAUUGACGCUGAGGCACGAAAGCGUGGGGAGCGAACAGGAUUAGAUACCCAAGUAGUCCCUGAGCGGGCUGGCAAGGCGCAU